AUGUCCAGGGUCUUUUCUGUGUGGAAUUUGCAGGUUCUCCCCGUGUCUGUAUGGGUUUCCUCCAGGUGCUCCGGUUUCCACCCGCAGUCCAAAGACAUGCAGUCAGGCCAACUGGACAUGCUAAACUGCCCCUGCCUUCCACCCAAUGAACCUCCAAACUGUUCCGUUCCACAGGGACUUCCAGCAGGCAGCAUGAGCAGUGUGAACUCCCCCGCCUGUCUGCUGGCACGAAACCAAUUCUACAGGACCAUCAGUCCCACUGAUAAAGAGAAGCCUGGGUGCAGUUCCUCUGAUAACCUGAAACAACCAAUGCAAAGUCAGGGGACUGUCUGGGUGAUCACUUCCUCACACCAAGGUACAGUAUGAAAACAAAAACAGCCAUGCGAGGCAUCCCAACAAUGAUUAUUCACAAACAAUUCAGUGCAUGAAUCUACAGCUGGCUCUACGUGGUCAAACCAAAGUUAGUUAAAGGGAAGACUGGCCACUAAACGGCAGCUAAAUGGGGCUAAACGGCAUGAUGAAAAGUAAACAUAGUUUCUAACCACUUGUGCAAG
ensembl:lncRNA